rnacentral:rRNA from 1 species
AGGUAUUCCCCUAGUAACUGCGAGUGAAGCGGGAAAAGCUCAAAUUUAAAAUCUGGUGGUCUUUGGCCAUCCGAGUUGUAAUCUAGAGAAGUGUUAUCCGCGCUGGACCGUGUACAAGUCUCCUGGAAUGGGGCGUCAUAGAGGGUGAGAAUCCCGUCUUUGACACGGACUACCAGGGCUUUGUGAUGCACUCUCAAAGAGUCGAGUUGUUUGGGAAUGCAGCUCAAAAUGGGUGGUAAAUUCCAUCUAAAGCUAAAUAUUGGCGAGAGACCGAUAGCGAACAAGUACCGUGAGGGAAAGAUGAAAAGAACUUUGGAAAGAGAGUUAAACAGUACGUGAAAUUGUUGAAAGGGAAACGCUUGAAGUCAGUCGCGUCAGCCAGGGAUCAACCUUACUCUUCUGUGGGGUGUACUUCCUGGUUGAUGGGUCAGCAUCAGUUUUGGCUGCUGGAUAAAGGUCAGGGAAAUGUGGCACCUCCGGGUGUGUUAUAGUCUCUGAUCAGAUACAGUGGCUGGGACUGAGGAACUCAGCACGCCGCAAGGCCGGGGUUCGCCCACGUUCGUGCUUAGGAUGCUGGCAAAAUGGCUUUAAUCGACCCGUCUUGAAACACGGACCAAGGAGUCUAACAUGCCUGCGAGUGUUUGGGUGGAAAACCCGAGCGCGUAAUGAAAGUGAAAGUUGGGAUCCCUGUCGUGGGGAGCACCGACGCCCAGACCUGAAGUUUACGGACGGAUCUGCGGUUGAGCAUGUAUGUUGGGACCCGAAAGAUGGUGAACUAUGCCUGAAUAGGGCGAAGCCAGAGGAAACUCUGGUGGAGGCUCGUAGCGAUUCUGACGUGCAAAUCGAUCGUC